rnacentral:rRNA from 1 species
CAUUUCUUAUUGAAAUUAUUAUAAGUAACACCUGCUCCAUGAGAAUUAAAUAGCCGCAGAAAUUACUGUGCUAAGGUAGCAUAAUCAUUAGCCUCUUAAUUAGAGGCUCGUAUGAAUGGUGAAACAUUUUAUUUACUUUUUUUUAUAAUUAUAUUUAAAUUAUAUUAAGUAUAAAAAUAUACUUAUUUAUUAGUAAGACGACAAGACCCUAUUGAACUUUACUUAAGUUUAGCUGGGGCAGCUUAUUAAAAUUAAUUUUAAUAUAGAUUUAUAUAUAAAUGACCCAAAAAAAUUGAUUAUUUGAUCAAGUUACCAUAGGGAUAACAGCGUAAUUUUUCUUUAAAGUUCGUAUUAAUAGAAAAGAUUGCGACCUCGAUGUUGAAUUAAUAUAACUUUUAUAUGCAAUAAUUUAAAAAGUAGGUCUGUUCGACCUUUAAAAUAUUAC